UGUCCAGAGAAAAUGUAUAAAGAGUUUAGUUAGAAAAUGUGUUUUGGAGCAGUCCAGGAAGCUUUUUUUGGGGCAAGGAGCUGACACCAAAAUUUCCCAGCAGCCGGACGGAAGGAGCAGCCCUGGAAGCCUGGUUGCUGAUUACUCGAAACCAUCUCAGACUUUGGGAGGCCUUGUUCCAAAGGUUAAGAAGUCAUCCUCCAUGCUGAGGGACAUGGAAGAGAUCCAACAAGCAAAAUACCCAGUAAAUGUGACUAUUAGGCAUACAUGAGGGAUCAUGUCCUCUCCUUCAAAAAAGACAGGGCCUGCAGCCAAAUUGCCGCCAAAGACCCAGACGUGCCGCCCCAAGUCCAGACAGAUUGAUGCCCCUUUCUAUUGGCCGCCCCAGGCACCUGCUUCCUUCGCUGGUGCCUGGAGCCAGCCCUGUUCGGGAGGAAAGCGGGGUGUGCGUGGAGCUGGACCUUGUCCUUAUGAAAGACUGUGUACGUUGCCUCGGAGGUCAGGGCCCUGAGCUCCGAGAGUCGCCUGGCCGACGUGAUUGCAACCAGGAAGGCCACCUUACAUGAGAGCAGGCCCAAGGCAGUGCACGUAGACAGGAGGAGAGCCACUUGAUCCCUCACCUGCACCCGGGAGUUGCCCUUGACCAGCCAGUUGUCCAGAUAGGGAAAUAUCUGGACCCCCCACCAUCUGAGAGCUUUCCUGUCAAACAGGAGAUCCUGCAUAGAAGACUGCGCCUCACUGGACAGCCCAGAGAGCAGGAGCCAUGACGCCCAUCUCAUGGACACUGCAGAGGCCAUUGAUCGUGCAGCCGUGUCUGCAGCAUCCAAGGCUGCCUGCAGAGAUGCCCUAGUGGCCGCUGCCCCUUCCUCAACUAGCACCUUGAACUCCUUCCUAUCGCGCUCCUGGAGGGAGUCCUCAAACUUGAGCAGGGAGUCCCACAGAUUGAAUUCGUACCAGCCCAGGAGAGCCUGAUGGUUUGCCAUUCAU